CUUGCCCACUAAACAUAAUUUGAACCACAAAGAGACAUGUAAAAAAAUAAACUUAGUGCAUAUUGGUUGCUAGAUCAUACAAUCCACAAUGAAGUUUUCUGACCAUGUAUUGAGCGCGAAGGUCUUUCCCUUCAGAAUUUAAAUUUGUUCACAAAGUCCUAUGUCUUACUCCCACUCAACUCCCUUCCCAGCAAUCACAAUGUCCAUUUCCCCACACCCAAGUAACACUUGAAAUACAAGACAAAGUACGAUGACGAACUUUCUCAUGCUUGGCUACUUCUCUGCCUGGUCCUCAUCAGUGCGCUUACAAUAGCUUCUUUUUUAUUUCUGCAUUUAUUCCAAGUCCAAUGAAUAGUUGCCGAGCUCUUGUUGUUUCCUACAAGAAAUGGUAACAUGUGAAGGGUAGGCAUUAAAUUAAGGAGGACAUGUGACAAUCCCAACAUCGCUGCAACUCACACUCAUUACUGUCGACAAUUGUGGAAUCGGAUUUGUUUCAGGCUUCACAUCAACCAAUGCCUCGGCAGGGGUGAAGGGAUAGGGAAAAAUUUAAAGUUAACAAAACAUAACUCAGGAAGAAAAAUCACAAUCACCCUAUGAAUCUGAUUUUGAAUUCGCCUUAUUAGCGCUAUCACUUUGUCAUUCCUGUUUAUGGAGCUCAAAAAGUUUUAAGACCAAGGAUACUCCGCUCCCUUGGAAGCUUAUGAAUUCAUCAUCAUGCUAUAUUAUUGUUCCCUAAAAAGAAUAAGGAAUAAAGUAGCAAUAAAGGCUAAGCUUAGAUUCAUAGCUCCACCUUUACCCAGAAACAUCUCAAGUAUGUGUAUAUACUAAAACUACAUGCCAUCAUAUGUGGUACUAUACAGAAAAUUUAAGUCCUAAUAACCUUCAGUCUCAAGUAGUGUGAGCUAGCAACUCUGUCUUUCCCUCUCUCUAGUUCUAAAUAUGAACAACGGAGUAACAAAAGGCAUGUGAUUACUUAUUCUCCUCAUCUUUACAUGGUUCAGAAUUCAUACACAUGAUGUAUUGUUCUCUAUUGUGCUAGUUCCCCGGCUAGCUACAGAAUGUAGCUUCUCCUCAGCCACUAUUACUCAUUUUAUUUCUGAUGGUAAGUCACAUAUAUAGCCUUGUGGAUAGAAACAUAGGGACGCCAACAUGCAACAUAGCCAUUGUUUAAAAAAAUUGUAUGCAUGCACACAGUGUCUAUGCAAUAAACAAAAUUGAGAUUCUGUAGUUGCUUGAGCAUAUAUAUACUUAAUCAUGUGUAUAGAUCCGGUUAUAUUACAAGUCCUAUGUUUAGCGCCUCUUGUAGUAUAAACCUACUAUGUGCAAGCGGGAUAUGUCUAGUGGAAUUCAAAUGGAUAACACAAAGUUUAGGGAGAGAAAUACCUCUCUGUAAAAGCAAACAGAACUAACUGGAUAUAUGCAGUUUUUGCAUAACAAAAACUGAAUGACACUGAACUCUGACAUGCUAACACAUUUUGUUUACAAGGACACAACAAUGAGAUUAGAAAUUAGUUAACACAUAAUCCAUUCUAAAGCAAGCUGAGCAGAGCAGAACUAAUGGAUAUGUAGUUCUUCCAAUUUCUGGCAAAUAUUUCUAACCAAGAUACUUGUCCUUCUCGAAACUUUGCAUGCUGAAAAAUUCAGACUGCCUUGCCGAUAAAGCUUGUGGAGAUAUCAUGGGAGACUUACAGGUGAUUAAACUUGUUUGUGAAAGAUUUACAUGCUAAUUAAUCUCAUAGCACUGUCAUUGCCCUAAAUACCUAAUAUCACAUGUAAAUCCUCAGCCAAUAAUUAGCUCAAGAAUUAGCAAAAAGAAAACGUAGUGUAGCAACCCACACGAACCAGAAUCUGACCUUUUCAAAACACUAUUGGAACCUUCUCCAGAGAAACCCAAGCGAUGCCUAUAAGUAUCAAUUGGUCGUUCACUUCAGAAUAUGAAAAUGGCAUGGACUGUAAAAACAAUAGCAGUAUGGAAAAUUUUCUGGCUCAACUGGUGUGCACCAGAAGAAUCAUUAUUUUGGCAUUAUACAAACAUUAAGAUUCAAAUGGAGCAUAAACAUAAAUAAUGUAAACAAAUCAGUUAGGGUGGUCACUUGUUUUAUUCAUAAAAAAUGAAAACCAUCUAUUAGGUUAGAGCGACAUGUGAACUCAGUCUGAAGCCCACUUACAAUGAUAAGCGACGAACAAUCAUCAAUCUCAUUUGCCUGAAAUUUUCAUUUGACCGCAAACCAUUGCAUAUGACAAAAAAUCAGAGAAACAAGUUAGUAAAACUCAUUACGCAUAUGAAGGCAUUAAAAUUUGAGGAAACAAUGUCAUACGUUGACAUAAUGCUCUUCGAAUCCUCCCUGAUGGCUGGGGAAAUUUUGCCACCAAGAUUUAACCCUCAGAGGUUGCAGUCAUUGCACACAUGAACACGUGUUAGUAAUUGCAUACUGCAGGUCUGCAGCCGGCGACAGA
rnacentral:lncRNA from 1 species